UCAAAGGGACUCGGAUACAUAUGUAUACCCCUACUCCACGUGCCUUGUAUACUAUGAUGCAUGUUCGGACUCAUUGGCCGCGCUUGCAUGCGAUGAGGCUCUUUGCAUGGGCCAACGCGUGGACCGGAAGCCACAACACCGACAACUUGAUCUUCAAACCUCAGCCGGCCGUUCUCCGCGAACAAACAUUUACCGCUGCAGAGGAUUGAUGAUGUGAGUUUCUUGAAUAGUUAGGGGCUGCGCUGAUUCCGUCGACACUCUUCAUCCCUGCCUAUCCUAACGUAACUUUACCCAUAUAUGUGCGGUAUUUUUGUUAGCAUUUGUCUGACAGUGUAACACCCCCCCUCCCCCCCCAUUCGUUAUUUGUACGGUCAAUGAAGAGUCACGGCUAUGCAUCUCUCGACUACGAAAGGCUUCUUUUUGCAACGCACGGCCUUCGUGCUCUGUUUGCUCCUGUUUGCAACUUUCUCGAGCUGUCGAGAUGAUGCCCAAGCGCCCUUGCAGGCUGAGCCGCCCAAUCCCCUAUUUCCAUCGCCGGCUGCGGCUACAGCAAAGAGGGUUGCAGUGAUUGGUGCCGGGUCUGCUGGUACUUCGACAGCCUACUAUCUGCGACAGUUUACCAAUUUCUUCUCCAUCCCACUCAACAUCACCGUUUACGAGCGGGCCUCCUACGUUGGUGGUCGAUCUACCACCAUCAAUCUGUUCGACGAUCCUUCCCAUCCAAUUGAGCUUGGAGCAUCCAUCUUUGUCGAAGUGAACAAAAACCUUAUUGGAGCCUCGAAGAAAUUUGGCCUCAAAUUGAGAGAUGCAGACUUUGGACAGCCCAAGGAAUCCACUUACAGUUUGGGAGUCUGGGAUGGCAAAGAGUUCGCUUUUCUCCAAUCGCGAACAGACGCCUAUUGGUGGAACGUGUUCAAGCUGCUCUAUAGAUAUGGCUGGGCUCCUAUGAAGACACAGAAUCUCAUGAAGGAGACAGUCAACAAGUUUUUGAAGCUCUACAAGUUCCCCUAUUUUCCCUUUCAGUCCUUAUCCGACGUGGCUGUGAGCACCGGACUUGCUGAAGCAACCUGGACUUCUGGCGCGGAAUACUUGAAAGAUAAUGGUAUAGCAGAACUAUUUGCCAGGGAGAUUAUCCAGGCCAGUACACGAGUGAAUUAUGGCCAGAACCUGGGCUUGAUCCAUGGCCUCGAGACAAUGGUAUGCAUGGCGACUGAUGGAGCUGUCGCUGUGGAAGGGGGCAACUGGCAAAUUUUCCAGUCCAUGCUCAAUGCGUCGAAGGCAACAGUGAGAUUAAACUCGCCUGUAUCUAGCAUUAAGCUUUCGGACAAUAAUACAUACACCGUCAGCUAUCAGGACGCAGGCGUCGAUGGUGGUAAUAGCUUUUCUGUCGAGCAAGAAACAUUUGACCAUGUCGUCAUCGCGAACCCAUAUCAAUUCUCGAAUAUCUCUUUGUCUCCCCCACCAAAACGGCCGCUUCAUUCUCCGCGCUACGUUGACCUGCACGUCACCAUUUUUGCCUCCCCCUAUAAACUCUCACCGGAAUAUUUCAAAAUGACCA
rnacentral:sRNA from 1 species